rnacentral:hammerhead_ribozyme from 1 species
AUCCAGCUGACGAGUCCCAAAUAGGACGAAACGCCCAUCCGGAAU